rnacentral:lncRNA from 1 species
CAAAAUUGAUGAAUUUUAUCCACCAAUUUUGUCAUAUGAAAUACAAUUUUAAAAAAAAAGAUUUUAUAUGAUGUAAAUAAUCAAACAUUUCAGUGCCAUUUCCCCAUCUUGCUUCAUGUUAAAAAAUAAAUUAAAAAUUCAAAUAAUCUCCAAAGUGUGCCUUCCCCUUUUUAUACAAAACAAUAACAGGCACAAAGUGAUGUAAUACAAUAAUGUGCCUGUCCAAAGCCAGGACAAUUAUAGUUUAGUGACUUUCAUUGUCUUCAUAUUUGUUUUUUCCUUUGAAGUUAAUAAAUAAAUCAAGCUGAUUGUUGCAGCAUGAAUUUUUCACAUUUCUAGAUUGGUUUUGAGGUUUUAUUUGGCAUUUGCUAAAGGCAUUGCAUGAUUGAAGUGACCCAUAUGUGUUGACUUUCAAUUUUACAUUGUUUUAACUGUUGGGAAAAUGCCUUUAAAUCAAUAAUUGCUAUACUUUAUCACAUUAUUUUCAUAUUUUCCAUAGAGUAUUUUAGAAGUUGGGUUAUUUAUUUUAUUUAGCCAUAUCUGCUUGAAGUUUAAAAGUGACUAGAGUUAAAUGUAAACUAUUUAGUUACUUAAAAGACUAGGAGACAUACAUGUAUUUUAACACUCAUCUAUAAAACAAAACAUUAUUUCUUAUUGAAUGCAAUGGUAAAAUUUGUGUCUUUACUUUUACUUAUAUUGUGACUUGGAUGAAGAGUUGUCUCAUUGGCGCUUAUACCACAUCUUCUGGUAUCUCCAUAUCCAUAGUUUGUCUACUGACAACAGUGUGUCCCUUUUGAAAUUGAUUUAUACUUUGAAAUAAAUCCAUUAUUAAUUUAUUUCUACAAGAUUUUGUGGAAAACUUGAAAUUGUUAGGCAGCAACCAUUUGAUUUUCUGGGGGGGGGCUAUGGUUUUUUUUGGGAAAAAAAGUUUGUUUCCAGUUUUUGGAGAAAAAAAUAAUUUGUUUUUGAUUCUGAGAAAAAAAAAUUGUUUGUUUCACCCCCAGCUGCCACUAUAUGUAAUGCUAAAAUUGAAAGAAAAAAAUAGUUUUCGACUUCUCGCGAAAAAAAUAGAUUGUUUUUCGCCGCAGGCGAAAAAAAAAGUUUGCACAGAAAAAAAAACCAUAGCCCCCCCCAGAAAAUCAAAUGGUUGCUGCCUUAGUUGUUUUAGUUUUUUGGUGUUUUGUUAUUGACUUUAUCUUGUUGUAAUAUCAAUUUUAAAAAUGCACUUUAGAUUUGGGUCAGAUUUUUCAUUCAUCAUUUCAGUUUGCUUGUUUUCUAGGAUAGAAGUAGAUUUUUACAUUUGUAAGUUUCAUAUAAACACUUGUUAAAAUAUAAAUAUUUCACCAAGUCAUUGGAGUGUUAGUUUGUUAAAAAGAAACAAGCAUAAUACCACACAAUUUGUACUGUGAAUUUAUAAUUGGGUAAUAAAGAUAGAA